rnacentral:sRNA from 1 species
CCCAGGACCCAGGCAAGGGGCACGAGUGUGACCCCCCCAGGCCUUCCCCUGGUUCCGUUUCCCUCCCUAGCCAGGUCCCCGCGAUGGAUGGGGACAGUGGGCUGUGACAAUGGAUCGCAACUGCUGUUUUUACCUGGCGGACGAUGCGCCCGAAUUCGCUUUAACCAGAUGCCCCUCUUCGCCUGGAGCCCUGGGAGCAGUCCCCCUCUCCGCUCAACAAUAAUUAGCCUUCGAUCUGAUUACCUACCAGGAAUGGCAAGUGGCCUCGCUGAAAGACUCGGCUUUUUGAGAAAUGAGAGAUGGGAGCCCUCACUGCCGAUGUUUCUUCCACACGCUUUGCUAGGUUAGAGGCAAGCUCAUGACCGCCUGGAAAAGCCAUUUUAGACAAAUCUUCCUUUGCAUUCUUGCUGGAGCCCUUCUCUUAUGCCCUUCCUUGGGCAUUUGCUCAUUCAUUUCCUCUCCCAUGCACUCACCCCACCCAUAGUGACUGCGCUCCUCCUGCCUGCGACGCUGGCAACAGGCAGCACAAUCUAAGGUCCCUCCCGGGAAAGUGUUCAGAGAGGGUUCCAUUCUGGGAGAGGCCCCCACUUUCCCCAGAGAUUUCAGACUCGAGUCAACCUUGCUGCUGGCAAAUGUCAGCAGAGAAUUUCAGAGCUUGAAGAAUCCUUAGAGAGCAUCAGUUCGAGUCUCUUACCCGGAAAAAACUGGGGGCCCAGAGAGGCUAAGGGUCUGGAGCUCAAGAUGCCCGCCAGGCAGUGGCAGGGCAGGAUGGUGCCUGGACUCAGCAGGACGGCUCUGUCUCUUCAGUCUCUCUUUUAUCCCCGUCCGGCCAACUGUAUUUGGAGAGUUUGACAUUGCCUUGGUAACCCCUGCCCCUCCCCACAGUGCCUGCCCAGCCCCCUCCCAUUUCCCCUCCUAGCACUUACUUGCCCCUGGCCCUCCUCCCAACCUGUUUCCCCCCAUGCGGGCAGGAACUGUAUUGCACUCACUCUAAUAAGAUGAUUGGACCAAUUAA